AAAAACAUGGCCUUUUGGUAAUUCUAUAAGGUUUAACCUGCCCAAUGAUUAUUUCAAUGGCUGCGGUAUUUUAACUGUACAAAGGUAGCGUAAUCAUUAGUUUCUUAAUUAGAAACUUGUAUGAAUGGUUGGAUGAGAAAAUUACUUUGUUUAUUUAAUUUUUAAUGAAUUUUAUUUUUGAGUCAAAAAGCUCAAAUGUUUUUAUAAGACGAGAAGACCCUAUAGAGUUUAAUAAUAGAUUUAUGGUUAUAAUAAGGAAUAUUUUAUUUUGUAGAUACUAUUAUUUGGUUGGGGUGACUUUAAAAUUUAAUAAACUUUUAAUUUUUUUGUACUUUAAUUUAUGAUUACUUGAUCCAAUUAUUUUGAUUAUCAGAACAAAUUACCUUAGGGAUAACAGCGUAA
rnacentral:rRNA from 1 species